rnacentral:rRNA from 1 species
UUUUUAAAUUGAGAGUUUGAUCCUGGCUCAGGAUGAACGCUGGCGGCGUGCCUAAUACAUGCA